GACGGAGGGGGCAAGCGUUGUCCGGACUCACUGGGCGUAAAGGGUGCGUAGGCGGUUGCAUGCGUCGGCGCUGAAAUCCCCGGGCUCAACCCGGGAACUGCGUCCGAUACUGGCAGGCUUGAAUCCGGGAGAGGGAUGCGGAAUUCCAGGUGUAGCGGUGAAAUGCGUAGAUAUCUGGAGGAACACCGGUGGCGAAGGCGGCAUCCUGGACCGGCAUUGACGCUGAGGCGCGAAAGCCAGGGGAGCAAACGGG
rnacentral:rRNA from 1 species